GUAACGGCGAGUGAAGCAGCAAUAGCUCAAAUUUGAAAUCUGGCGUCUUCGGCGUCCGAGUUGUAAUUUGUAGAGGAUGCUUCUGAGUAGCCACCGACCUAAGUUCCUUGGAACAGGACGUCAUAGAGGGUGAGAAUCCCGUAUGGGAUGGGGUGUCCGCGCCCGUGUGAAGCUCCUUCGACGAGUCGAGUUGUUUGGGAAUGCAGCUCAAAAUGGGAGGUAAAUUUCUUCUAAAGCUAAAUACUGGCCAGAGACCGAUAGCGCACAAGUAGAGUGAUCGAAAGAUGAAAAGCACUUUGGAAAGAGAGUUAAAAAGCACGUGAAAUUGUUGAAAGGGAAGCGCUUGCAAUCAGACUUGUUUAAACUGUUCGGCCGGUCUUCUGACCGGUUUACUCAGUUUGGACAGGCCAGCAUCAGUUUCGGCGGCCGGAUAAAGGCUCUGGGAAUGUGGCCUCCACUUCGGUGGAGGUGUUAUAGCCCAGGGUGUAAUACGGCCAGCCGGGACUGAGGUCCGCGCUUCGGCUAGGAUGCUGGCGUAAUGGUUGUAAGCGACCCGUCUUGGAACACGGACCAAGGAGUCUAACAUAUGUGCGAGUUCACGGGUGUUAAACCUGAAUGCGCAAUGAAAGUGACUGCUGGGAUUUUUGCACCAGCAACCGACCAAUCAAUUGUGAGAGGUUUGAGUAUGAGCAUAUCUGUUAGGACCCGAAAGAUGGUGAACUAUGCCUGAAUAGGGCGAAGCCAGGGGAAACUCUGGUGGAGGCUCGUAGCG
rnacentral:rRNA from 14 species